rnacentral:rRNA from 1 species
ACGGCUCAGUAACACGUUGAUAAUCUGUCCUUAGGCUCAGGAUAACCUCGAGAAAUUGAGGCUAAUACUGAAUAUGAGAUUGAGGCUGGAAUGCACUUUCUCUCAAACGUAAGGCCUAAGGGUGAGUCAGCGGCUGAUUAGGUUGUUGGUGAGGUAAAAGCUCACCAAGCCAGCGAUCAGUAGGGGAGAUGAGAGUCUUGACCCCGAGAAGGACACGGAGGUACUGGUCCUAGUCCUAAGGGAUGCAGCAGUCACGGAACCUUUACAAUGCACGAAAGUGUGAUAGGGGGAUUCCAAGUGCUUUGCCAACGGCAAGGCUUUUGCCAAGUGUAAGAAGCUUGGCGAAUAAGUGGUGGGCAAGACCGGUGCCAGCCGCCGCGGUAACACCGGCGCCACAAGUGGUGAUCGUACUUAUUGGGUCUAAAGCGUCCGUAGCCUGUUCGGUAAAUUCUUUGUGAAAUUGUUGAGCUUAACUUAACAGCUUGCAAGGAACACUGCCAAACUUGAGACCGGGAGGGGGUAGAGGUAUUCCAUGGGGAGCGGUAAAAUGCAAUAAUCCUUGGAAGACCACCAGUGGCGAAGGCUUCUAUCCAGAACGGGUCUGACGGUGAGGGACGAAGGCUAGGGGAGCAAAAUGGAUUAGAUACCCAAGUAGUCCUAGCUGUAAACACUGCGAGCUGAGUGGGGCAUUUCCUAUAUGGAAAUGCUCGGUUUAAGCGAAGGCGUUAAGCUCGCCACCUGGGAAGUAUAGUCGCAAGGCCGAAACUUAAAGGAAAUUGGCGGGGGAG